AACCCGUGCCCCCUGCAGUGGAAGCACACAGUCUUAACCACUGGGCCACCAGGGAAGUCCCUAGACAUGCAAGGCAAUGUUACCAAAGAGGCCAACUUCUCGUGGACCAUCUAUGGACCAGACUGCCCCUUGUCCACAAUUCAAAGUCUCCAGGAAGACAUAGCACCACAAAGGACUUGAUAGAAAUAUACCAACAUGGGGACUUCCC